rnacentral:rRNA from 1 species
UGAGGGAAAGUUGCAAAGUACUUUGAAGAGAGAGUAAACAGUGCGUGAAACCGCUCAGAGGUAAACGGGUGGAGUUGAACUGCAAGCUUUGAGAAUUCAGCUGAUGAGUGUGGUUUGAGCUUGGUCAAAUUGGUGAACUCCGGGGUCUGCGUAGUAGCAGGUCUUUGCCUUCGGGUGAGGAUGCGCGAUACACUUGUCAAGUGUUGUGCGCUUCGGUUGUUCUUCGGCCUGCUCGUCAGUGCACUUUCUCUUAGUGGUCACCACGACCGGCACCGCUGUCUGGCUUCUUCGGUUAAACCGGUUUUGCUUAGUCAUAAGGCUUUGCUUGAUCGGGAGGGCAGGUAGCUCGUUGACUUGCUUGUGGUUCGCUGCAAGCGUUCGGUUUUCGAGUGUUAUUAGCUGACCGGAGUAGUACUGUGCAGUGUGUCGGAGACGGCGGCUUGUAGUGCGUGCAUGCGUGCCUGUUCUGCUGACUUGUCCGAGUUUGGUUAUUAUGUUGCCUGUUCAAGCAGGCCUGGUGAUGGCUCGGAUUCGUUCGGUGGGCGGUUGCGUGUGUUGCACCUUUCAGGGCCAACAGUCUGUGGUGUAGUGGUAGACUUUCCACCCGACCCGUCUUGAAACACGGACCAAGGAGAGUAACAUGUACGCGAGUCAUUGGGCGUUACGAAACCCACAGGCGCAGUGAAAGUAAAGGUCUGACUUGUUCAGGCUGAGGUGAGAUCCUGUCGUUUCUCACGCGCGGUACUACCAAGCAUCGAGCGGCAGGCGCAUCACCGGCCCGUCCCAUGGCAGUUGUCUUCGGACAGUUUUCGGUCGGGGCGGAGCAUGAGCGUACAUGUUGAGACCCGAAAGAUGGUGAACUAUGCUUGCGCAGGUUGAAGCCAGAGGAAACUCUGGUGGAGGACCGCAGCGAUUCUGACGUGCAAAUCGAUCGUCMAACGUGAGUAUAGGGGCG